AUUGAACGCUGGCGGCAUGCCUUACACAUGCAAGUCGAACGGUAACAGGUCUUCGGAUGCUGACGAGUGGCGAACGGGUGAGUAAUACAUCGGAACGUGCCUAGUAGUGGGGGAUAACUACUCGAAAGAGUGGCUAAUACCGAAUGAGAUCUAAGGAUGAAAGCAGGGGAUCGCAAGACCUUGUGCUACUAAAGCGGCCGAUGGCAGAUUAGGUAGUUGGUGGGAUAAAAGCUUACCAAGCCGACGAUCUGUAGCUGGUCUGAGAGGACGAUCAGCCACACUGGGACUGAGACCCGGCCCAGACUCCUACGGGAGGCAGCAGUGGGGAAUUUUGGACAAUGGGCGAAAGCCUGAUCCAGCAAUGCCGCGUGCAGGAUGAAGGCCUUCGGGUUGUAAACUGCUUUUGUACGGAACGAAAAGCCCCGGGUUAAUACCCUGGGGUCAUGACGGUACCGUAAGAAUAAGCACCGGCUAACUUCGUGCCAGCCGCCGCCGUAA
rnacentral:rRNA from 1 species